AGCAGCCGCGGUAAUUCCAGCUCCAAUAGCGUAUAUUAAAGUUGUUGCAGUUAAAAAGCUCGUAGUUGAAUUUCGGGGUCAGUAGGUUGGUCGUGCCACCGGUACGUACUGGUCUCACUGAUUCCUCCUUCCUGAUGAGCUGUAAUGCCAUUAAUUUGGUGUUGCAGGGAAUCUGGACUGUUACUUUGAAAAAAUUAGAGUGUUUAAAGCAGGCUAACGCUUGAAUACAUUAGCAUGGAAUAAUGAAAUAGGACGUUCGAUCCUAUUUUGUUGGUUUCUAGGAUUGACGUAAUGAUUAAUAGGGAUAGUUGGGGGCAUUAGUAUUCAAUUGUCAGAGGUGAAAUUCUUGGAUUUUAUUGAAGACUAACUACUGCGCAAGCAUUUGCCAAGGAUGUUUUCAUUAAUCAAGAACGAAAGUUAGGGGAUCGAAGACGAUCAGAUACCGUCGUA
rnacentral:rRNA from 1 species